UGCCCCAUGGCUGAGUUGGUUACAGCGUCCGACUGUUAUAGACCACCAUCGGAAGGUCGAGAGUUCGAGCCUCUCUGGGGCAG
rnacentral:tRNA from 1 species